AGCAAAUAUUCAUCAAUUAUAGAUGCUUUGUCUGCCAGACAAGGGCAGGAUACAGAAUGGCAGAACAGAUUAUAUGCUUUGUGAUCGACAAGUUAAUUCAACUACUCAUCACCACAGAAGCAAACCUUUCGAGAAAUGCAAGUACUGAAGUUGGUUUCAUCAAAGAUGAACUCGAGAGCAUCCGAUCAUUCCUCAAGGAAGCAGAUGCUAAGGCUGCAGCAGCAGACGGAGAGACGGGGAAUGAUGGUGUCAAAACUUGGGUCAAUCAAGUAAGAGAAGCAGCUUUUUAUAUUGAAGAUGUGAUUGAUGAAUAUUUGCUCCGCAUCUUACAGCAUCAUCAACACCAUGCAUUCCUUCGUUCUUUCCACAAAAUUAUCCGGUUGGCUAAAAAAUUGAGAUCACAGGAUGGGAUAGUUUUGAAAGUUGACGGUAUAAAAGAAUUGGUUCGUGGAAUCAAGGAGAGAAGUGAAAGAUAUGGAUUCAAAUCCCUUGAUCAGCAAGGCCAGAGCAGUGGAGAAAACAACGACCCUCGAGUGGCUUCCCUUUUCAUUGAGCAAGCUGAAAUCGUGGGGAUUGAAUCUACCAGAGAUGAGCUGACUGGUUUGUUGGUAGAAGAAGCACCAAGACGUAAAGUGAUAUCAGUGGUUGGCAUGGGAGGACUUGGGAAAACCACUCUUGCCAAGAAAGUAUAUGACCAGCCGAAGGUGAUGGCACACUUUGAUUGCUAUGCUUGGAUUACGGUGUCCCAAUCGUACAGGGUUGAGGAUCUUCUGAGGACGGUAAUAAAAAAGUUCUACAUUUCAAGGAAGGAGCUUUUCCCAGAGGAAAUCGACACAAUGGAUGAGGAGUCCCUGAUUAGCACAGCAAGAGAGUAUUUGCAGCAAAAGAGGUACGUUGUUGUGUUUGAUGAUGUGUGGAAAGUAGAUUUUUGGGGGGCUAUAGAACAUGCUUUACCCGAUAAUAAAGGCGGACGAAUAAUUAUCACUACACGGAUUCAAGGUGUUGCCAACUUUUGCAGAAGAUCUUGUUUUGUUCAUGUUCAUCACUUGCAGCAUCUGCCUCCAAACAAGGCAUGGGAAUUGUUUUGCAGAAAGGCAUUUCAGUUUGAAUUGGAGGGAAAGUGUCCUGAAGAUUUGGAAGAGUUGUCUCUUAACAUCGUCAAAAGAUGCGAAGGACUACCUUUGGCAAUUGUUUCCAUAGCUGGUCUGCUGUCAACCAAAGCUAAAGUUGUGUCUGAAUGGCAGAAGUUAUACAAUAGCUUAAGUUCAGAGUUAGAAAGCAAUCCCCACCUUACAAGCCUCACAAGAAUCAUAUCCCUCAGCUAUCACCAUCUGCCGUAUUACCUCAAAUCGUGUGUAUUAUACUUUGGCAUCUUUCCCGAGGAUUACUCAGUUAGUUGCAUAAGAUUAGUUCGGUUGUGGAUCGCUGAAGGUUUUGUGAAACCGAAGAGGGGCAAGACACUAGAAGAGGUUGGAGAGGAAUACUUGAUGGAGCUAAUUCACAGAAGCCUGGUUCAAGUUUCAGAAGUUUACAUUGAUGGAAAAGCUCGAGGUUGUAGAGUUCAUGAUCUAUUGCAUGACGUCCUCCUUAAGAAGGGGUUGGAUUCGAGCUUCUGUCAUGUGUUAUCAAAAGACGAGUCAACUUUUAAACCAACAACUCGACGUCUCUCAAUGGACAUCAGUCCUUCUGAGGCCGUGGGAAGCUUUACACAAUCUCAUAUUCGUUCUGUAUUUACUUUCAACCUAGAAGAAUGGCCUGGGUCUUUUCUCGAUACAUUGAGUGGAAACAUUAAACUUCUGAAAGUAUUGGAUUUCACAGAUGCUCCAAUCAAUCAACUUCCGAAAUAUGUGGGGGAUUUGUAUCUCUUGACGUAUUUAAGCUUGAGGAAUACAAGGGUGGAGUUGCUUCCAGACUUCAUAGGCAAUCUACAAAACUUGGAAACCUUGGAUCUAAAACAGUCUUUGGUGUAUGAAAUACCAGCCAAGAUCAAUAAGCUUGUUAAGCUGCGGCAUCUUUUGGCCUACCAUCGUGACUACAACUACGACGUGGGUUUGUAUUGGAAUUUGGAAAGAGGAGUGAAGAUACAUGAAGGUAUUGGAUGCUUACAAGCUUUGCAAAAUUGUCCUAUGUGGAGGCGAAUCAUGGAGGGAUCAGGUUAAUCAAAGAAUUGGGAAAGUUACGACAGCUACGGAAGUUAGGCCUAAAAAACUUGAAAAGUGAAGAUGGAAGGGCUGUGUGUGCUUCUAUUGAAAAGAUGAACCACCUUGAAUCUCUAAUUUUAACUGCAAUAAAUGAAGAUGAAGUCCUUGAUCUAGAAUCCAUUUCAACUCCACCACAAUUUAUUCGUGCUCUCUUCUUGAUAGGGCGUUUAGAGCAGUUGCCAGGUUGGAUUUCAAAUCUUCAACACCUCGUCAGAUUGGUGAUUUGUUGGUCAAGGUUGAGAGAUUCCCCACUAAAAGCCCUUCAAAAUCUACCUAAUCUGUUGGAGCUAACUUUGGAUAUCAAUGCAUAUGAUGGUGUGCAGCUGCAUUUUGAGGAAGGAGGAUUUCAUAAACUUAGAAAGCUACAUCUCAGGGAAAUGAUGGGACUAAAUUCGUUGAUCAUAGACGAUGGUGUCAUGCCUCUUCUCCAAGAGUUUCGCAUUGGGCCUUCCCCACAAAUGAAUGAGGUACCCUCUGGCAUCCACCAUCUCCGGAAUCUGACAUAUCUUCAUUUCUAUGACAUGCCAAAGGAGUUUGCGCGACAGAUGGAUCCAAAAAAUGGCCAACAUUAUUGGAUUGUUGAACAUAUACAAAAUGUUCGUUUUAGUUACAAGGUCGGACCAAGAUGGCGUGUAUAUGAAAUUCACGCCCUGCGUGAUUCCAACUUUUCUCUUUGGUGGAAUGCUUGAUUCCAACUUGUGAAACCAAGCAUGGGAAUGGGAUAUGCUUUGGUUAAGAGUUGGUUGUUAGCUCUGGUAUCCUAGUUUCUCUUGCAGGUUGACUGGGAGGGGCUCUUUCUCUUCUGUUUUCUUUGUGUCGUCCAAUCGUAUUCCUAGCAUUUUCCUUGUAAUUUUAUUGGUGGUUGCAAUAAAAAUAUCCUAUCCAAUUGAUUUUCUCUAGGAAAAUGAUAAACCGUAUGCUCCUUUUAACCUCACUUUGAUAAUUGAAGUUAAAAUAUUAAAUUUUUACUAUUUUUGAUCUUACCAAUUCUUUACUAUUUUAUAUUCUUUAUAUUAAUUUGUAAUCUCUAACAUAUUUUGUUAAUCAAAGGGUAGAUUUUGUGGAUUAUAGAAAUUUCAUGAAUCAUGAUUGUUUUUUUUUAUUUGCCAAAAAAUUCAUGAAUCAUGAUUGAGCAUUCUCCUUUUGUAUGUCACACAUAUUGAUCCAGCCACAUAUUUUUUGUAUGCACAAUAAUGAAAAUGUGUUAAGCGUUUAACGGUGUAAAUUCAAACUCCGUCGAUAACUAACGUAACAAAAUUUAUCGACAGACAAAAAAAAUAAAAAUUAGGUACAAGAUGUAAAGGUGAGGGCCCACAAAUGCAAGCGUUGGGGAUAGCGGAGUGGAUCCCACGAUUUCAAAAUUAUGGACAGGAGGAACAUUUCUCUCAAACUUGGGCGCUAAAAAAAGUCGUCGUCGUUUUUCCUUUUCUGGCUGAGUUUGCCUUCUUAAACCAACCCGACAUUCUCGGCCCAAACAAAUGUUCAAACCUUUCCGUUACUUCCCUUCACAAAUUUCCAAUUAGGGUUUCACAUUAACCUUGAUCAGAACUUCUACGUACAUAUAUAUACAUAUAUAUAUUUAUAUAUAAUCUCUCUCUCCCUCUGUUUCUGAAUUUUGAUUUCCCGGGAAGGUUUCAAACCCGAUCGUUUCUUCGAAAGUCUCUGAAAGCUUUUCGACAAAACAAAAAUCCAAAAUCUUUGUGAUAUCAAAAAGGAAAUAAAUUUCAAAACGCGCAUGGAAUUGGCUGGUUCAUUUGCCUGAAAGUUGGUUCAGAUAGAGAUGGAGGGAGGGGCGAGAGAGAUGGACGAAGAAUUGCUGGAGUUCGCGAGGGAGGCUUUCGAGGGGGAUGAAAUUGACAUGGACUACGAAUUGAUGCGCCAAAGGUUCUACGAUUUCACUAGGCCGGAAUCCUAUUGGGAGGCGGAGGAGGCGGAGGAAUGGUUCCGGUCCGCCGGAGGCUAUCACCCCACGCGUAAGCGAUUUCCAGAACAUUUGUUUGUUGGUUUCUUAUCAUUGAUAGACAUAUAUUGUGUGGCUGAGAUACUGCCACUUGUAUGCAGAUUAGAGAGUUAGUUAGAAAGUUAGUUAGGUAGUUUGUUUAGAAUAUUGAAAAGGGUAUAAAUACUGAUGUAUGUGGGAUUGCUUAGUAAGUAAGAAAAGUAAUAUACUGGAAGUGUUUGGUUUCUACUUCUCUCUCUAAAUUGCUUGAAUCUCUUCUUCUUCUCACUAUAUUUCUGUAGUUUAAUAUGGUAUCACUCGCCAUUAGAGCUUGAUCAGCUUCUUCGAUCCGAGUCUUCCGCAGCUCCAACACUUCGUCUUCCUCUGAAUUCUUGCUUCUUGUACGCAUUUCUUGAUUGCUUUGACUUCGUCUUCUCUGCUUUCUAGGGUUUAUUGUUUCUGGGUGCUCUGCAACUACGAUCUGGUUGCGUCUUCGUCUUCUUCUAAUAUUGCACUCCAGGUGUUUGAUCCAUUGUUUCAGUGAGUUUCGGCAACGAUGGUAACAGCUUCUCAACUUCAGCUUCUUCAAUCUCCGAUCACUGCUCUAGUUUCGUCGAUUUCUACAUCUGUGAAUGUGAAGUUGGAUGAUUCGAAUUAUCUCACUUGGCAUUUUCAAAUGCAAUUACUGCUUGAGAGUAAUGGAAUUCUAGGGUUUGUCGACGGCACGCAUCCCUGUCCUCCUCGACAUUCCUCACCAUCUGGAGAUUCUGGUGUUAAUUCCUCAAAUUCAACAACUUCUUCUGCUAGUGAUGAGUAUUUGAUUUGGAUAAUGCAUGAUAAAGCCCUGAUGCAGUUACUGACUGCUUCUUUGAGUCCAAUGGCUCUGUCGUGUGCUAUUGGUAGUACAAGCUCUCGGGAUCUCUGGAUUCGAUUGCAAGAACAAUUCUCCACAGUCUCCAAGACUAGCAUAUUUCAGAUGAAGUCUAAUCUUCAAACCAUUAAAAAGGGAUCUGAUUCUGUUGCUCAAUAUUUACAGAAAAUCAAAGAGGCCAGAGAUUAUCUUUCAGCUGCUGGGGUGUAUUUUGUUGAUGAAGAUAUUGUCAUUCUUGCGUUGAAUGGUUUGCCACCAGAGUAUAAUACAUUCAGAACAGUAAUAAGGGGACGUGAGAAUGUUAUAUCUCUGAAGGAGUUUAGGACACAAUUACUUGCUGAAGAAGCUAUUCUGGAAUCCACUGUUAAUGCACCUUUUAUGACUGCAAUGGUUGCUCAUAAUUUACCUCCGAGAGCACCUACUCAAUCCAAUUUUGUGGCUGGUGGUUUCAAGCAAUUCAAUGCUCCCAAAAACAAGGGGAAGGGCCGGUUUCAUCAAAAUAACAGGACUUUUUCAUCCAAGCCGUAUCUUCCUACUCAAACUCAUGUUCUCCAAAAUCCAAGUCCUGGUGUUCUUGGUUCUUUUCCUCAUCAGCAGCACUCCCCUCCUUCUGCUCCACAUCUCCUCUUAUGUCAACUUUGCAAUUGUGGUGGUCAUUCUGCGCCUUUCUGUCCAUCCAAUUCUUCUGCGAAAUCCCGAUGUCAGAUUUGUGGCAGGUUUAAUCACAGUACAUGGUUCUGUUUUUACAAUGACAAGGGUCCCAACUAUAUUGGUGCUGGCAAUGGUUCUUAUCCACAACCAGGGCAUCCAUAUUCUCAGCAGGCUUCUUAUUCACAGCAAGGGUAUUCAUCACAGUUUCCUGCUCCACAACAAAUUCAGUCUCAGGCACCAAUGCAGGCUUUUCAUACUAUGGUGCCACAACCCUCUCCUCCAGCAGCAUCUUCAUCUCCUUCCCAAGUUUGGAUCACUGAUUUCGGGGCAACGAAUCAUAUGACUGCUGAUCUUUCCAAUCUGUCUCUAGCUUUACCCUAUCCCACUAAUGAAGUCAUACAAACUGCCAAUGGUGAAGGUUUGCCUGUAUCUCACAUUGGUAGUACUGUUAUAAAACCAUCUCUCCAUCCUAUAAAAUUGAAUUCUGUGUUAUAUGUUCCCAAAUUAACACAGAAUCUUCUAUCUGUCCAUCGCAUAUGUUUGGAUAAUAAUUGUUGGCUUAUCUUUGAUGCCUUCUGUUUUUGGAUCCAGGACAAGGCCACAGGGAGGGUACUCUAUAAAAGAUUGUGCAGUAAUGGACUCUACCCACUCUCAUCUCUAGCCAAUGUGUCACCUGCUGGUUCUCAAAGCAUUGCUUCAAAUAAAGCCCUCCUUGGUCAGUUGGUUACUUCUUCUACUACCUGGCACAAUAGAUUAGGACAUCCAUCUAAUUCAGUUGUCUCUCUUAUGUUGCAUAAGUCCAAAGUUGCUUUUGCAAAAGACCCAAAUCCUGUUCUGUGUCCUAGUUGUCUUGAGGGUAAAUUCUGUAAACUUCCAUUUGCAUUAAGUGUCAAUAAAUCUGUAACUCCUUUUGAUGUAGUGCAUAGUGAUCUUUGGGGUCCUGCACCUUGUAAAUCUGUGGAUGGAUAUCGGUACUAUGUCACCUUCAUUGAUGAAUGUACCCGGUAUUCCUGGAUUUUCCCAUUGAUGAAUAAAUCCGAUCUUUGUGCCACUUUUAUUGCUUUUCAUGCUUAUGUUCUCACUCAAUUCUCUGCAAACAUUAAAAUUUUGCAAAGUGAUGGUGGUGGUGAGUACAUUAGCAAGUCACUUCAAUCUUUUCUUCUCCAAAAGGGCAUUUCUCAUCAAAAAUCCUGUCCUUAUACCCCUGAACAAAAUGGGAUGGCUGAACGUAAACACAGACACGUUAUUGAAACCACAAUUACUUUGUUGCAAACAGCUAAACUGCCUUCCCAGUUUUUGGUCCUUUGCAUGUCAAACUGCCAUUUAUCUCAUUAAUAGAAUGCCUACUCCCAUUCUCCAUAACCAGUCUCCUUUUGAAGCCUUAUAUGGUGCUGUUCCAGUGAUUCAUCACUUGCGAACGUUUGGUUGUGCUUGUUAUCAUUUCUUAAGACCUUACAAUGCUACCAAACUUCAAGCUAAGACUACAAAAUGUGUGUUUUUGGGAUAUGCAUCCAAAUUCAAGGGCUUCAUUUGUUUUGCAGUUUCUACACAUAAAUUCUUUGUGUCUAGACAUGUGGUAUUUAGUGAACAUGAGUUUCCUUAUAAUGACUUGUUGUCCCGAGCCACCACACCACAAUCUCCUACUUCUGUUCACAUUACUGACCUGUCAUCUCUUCCUGUCGUCCCCUCACAGCCUAUAGUCACUAUACCCUCCUCUCAUACUCCUAUUUCUCCUGAGUCUCCAUUACAUUCCCCUUCUGCUCCCGGGUCUUCAUCCUUCUCACCAACCACGUCUCAGUUUCUUGACCCACCACCCUCUCAUCAGUCCAUUACUGGUGCAGUUUCACCCACUGAUCACAACCCUGUGGUACUUGAACAUAGUCCUGUUACACUACAAGUGGUUCCUUCCAUUCCCUCCUUGAAUAUACACCCUAUGCAGACUAGGAGUAAGAGUGGUAUCAGCAAAAAGAAGGUUCUUUUGUCUGCUCUUGCUACUUCCAUGGAUGCUGAUUUGUCUAUGUGUGAACCCAAAACAUACAAAUCUGCUCUCAAGAGUCCUGUGUGGUUUCAAGCAAUGAAGGAAGAGAUCAGUGCUUUGCAUACUCAAGGAACAUGGAGUUUAGUUCCUUUACCUGCAAACAAGAAUUUAGUAGGGUGUAAAUGGAUUUUCAAACUCAAGAGACAUUCAGAUGGUUCAAUUGCACGCCAUAAAGCUCGAUUGGUUGCCAAGGGAUUUAGUCAAGAACCUGGGCUGGAUUACAGUGAGACCUUUAGUCCAGUUGUUAAACCCACCACAGUGAGGAUUGUUUUAGCACUUGCUGCUCACUUUAAUUGGUCACUUCGGCAACUAGAUGUCAAGAAUGCGUUUCUCCAUGGCAUAUUACAGGAUGAGGUGUAUAUGGAUCAGCCACCUGGCUUUGAGGAUCCCCAGAAUCCUACUUUGGUAUGUCAAUUGCAUAAGUCCCUAUAUGGCUUAAAACAGGCCCCGAGGGCAUGGAAUGACAGGUUUACUUCUUUUCUGCCUAAGUUGGGCUUCCAUAACACCUAUUCUGAUUCCUCCUUAUUUGUGAAACCUGUUGGUGCCAAUAUUGUGAUCUUAUUGCUAUAUGUCGAUGAUAUUAUCAUCACAGGAAGUGCAAUCACUGAGAUUCAGCAGGUCAUUGAUGCUUUAACUUCUGAAUUUGACAUCAAGGACUUAGGUCCUCUUCACUACUUCCUUGGCAUUCAGAUUUCCAAGACUGCCAAGGGGUUAUUUUUGUCCCAACAGAAAUAUGUACAGGAUCUCCUUGUCAAAACAGAAAUGCUUGACUCCAAGCCUUGUGACACACCCUGCUUACCUUCUACCAGGUUACUCAAGGAUGAUGGUGACCCUUAUCCUAAUCCUACUUUAUAUAGGAGUGUGGUGGGUGCUCUUCAAUAUCUAACGUUCACACGCCCUGAUAUAGCUUUCUCUGUGCAUCAAGUCUGUCAGUUUAUGCAAUAUCCUAUGGUCUCUCAUUUCACUGCAGUUAAAAGGAUCCUUCGGUAUUUGAAGGGCACUAUGUCCUGUGGCAUUACCUAUUCUCAAGGGGACUUGGCACUAUCUGCAUUUAGUGAUGCCGAUUGGGCUGGAGAUCCCAAUGAUCGGCGAUCUACAACAGGGUCUGUGGUGUUCCUCGGGCAUAAUCCUAUCUCAUGGUCCUCUAAGAAACAGCAGACAGUGUCCCGAUCUUCGACUGAGGCAGAGUAUCGUGCUUUAUCCUCCACUGCAGCAGAACUUGAUUGGAUUCAACAAAUCCUUGCUUUUCUGCAUUUUCCGAUGUCUGCUCCUCCUGUUUUAUACUGUGACAACCUUUCUGCUAUAGCCUUGUCUUUCAAUCCUGUCCAACAUCAACGGACCAAACACAUUGAAAUUGAUGUGCAUUUUGUUCGAGAGCGGGUUUCUCAGAACAAGCUUGUGGUGCAGUUUGUGUCCUCCAAGGAGCAGUUGCUGAUAUCUUGACCAAAGGCCUCAGUUCUUCAUUGUUCCUUUUUCAUUGUAACAAUCUCAUGUUAGGAUCAUCCAAACAUGAGCUUGAGGGAGGAUGAUAGACAUAUAUUGUGUGGCUGAGAUAUUGCCACUUGUAUGCAGAUUAGAGAGUUAGUUAGAAAGUUAGUUAGGUAGUUUGUUUAGAAUAUUGAAAAGGGUAUAAAUACUGAUGUAUGUGGGAUUGCUUAGUAAGUAAGAAAAGUAAUAUACUGGAAGUGUUUGGUUUCUACUUCUCUCUCUAAAUUGCUUGAAUCUCUUCUUCUUCUCACUAUAUUUAUGUAGUUUAAUAAUCAUGUCCCAAAAACAAUGAAUUUUGGAUCAUCUCCUAUGAUUACCACAUUAAUUAAUGAUCGUUUUCUGCUAAUAAAUUUCAACAUCUACAUGUUUAGUUCAUGCAUUUUAAAUAUGUUACGUUGUUUUAUAUGAACAGAUUAGAGAUUAAUUGAAUUAUAAAUAAUGUAAUUUGAUUAGAUUAAUUUGUUACCACUAACUUUGUAUUUUCUUUGUUUAAUUUGUUUCAAAUCCUUUAGCCUUCCUUGAAAAAUUGUUGAAUUGGCAAAAAGAGAAUCAUCCAGUACCUGUAAAAACCUCUGCGGAAUCGAAAGAUGUUGAAGUUACUAGAUGCAGUACCUUGAAAAAUUGCAUGGAAACGGAGAUCUCUGCAUUCGUAGACGAUAAUGACAAAGGUACAUUCGGCCUCAUCGACUCAUGUCUUAUUAGAUUUUCGACGCAAUGUGAUAGUUCGUUGUAAAAUUACCGCACUUGGAAAAUUUUAUGUCUGUUAUCUGAAUCGACUUUGCCUGAAUUAGUACAUGAAGUUGUAUCUCACUGUUAUGUUUUAUGUUCAUGUUUCGACAUGAUUAGAGUUUUCUAAUCACAUGGCUCAAGACACUCUGAAAACCAAACUGAAGUCCUCGGGUAAGUCACCACAUCUAUUAAGGAGUUCAACGUUAAUGAAAUUCACGGCGAGUCAGUUGGCCAAGCAAAAUCAGCACCGAGAGGUUCACUCCAAUCGGUUAUUAAGGAGGUGCUGUUAUUUUUCUCUGAUGUUUCUGUUGUCAUUAAUGUAUGUUUUGUUCUAAUUGUUUGGUGGUCUAGUUUUCUAACUUGUCCCAUUUUCCGACUCUUGAUUACAGAGUUGCGAAAAAGCUCGAGAAACUCGAUGAGAAAUCACAGAAUUCUCCGCCACCUACGAUGGGCUGCGAAAAUUCGAAGCAAUGUAGCAUAGCACUUUGCAAAUUCGGUAGUGCUAUCACACGUGCAUUCUUACUUCUCACUAACCCCUCUCAAUUUUUCGGCCAUUGGAAAAAUAAGUGUGUAAAUAACACUAUCCUACAAAUUACGCAACCGAAACUAUAACAGAAGAGCGAUUAUAACGUAUUAAAGUACCAUCUCACUAAAUUAUCCAACAAUGUUUCAGAGAUUAGGAACAAUCAUACUACUUUCAGCUCAGUCAUUCCAUCAAACGGCUGGUUCGCUGCAAUUCCACUUAUGCUCAAAUCACUACCGUCCGUUCCUACCAUCGAUUCCAUCAAAUUCUCCGAAACCCAUUUCUCAAUCAAAUCCAAACACAGCUGCAACCACACCCAGAAAAUUAAAAAGUCGAACUUUACAAAACUCCACUCCGAAAACAUAAAUUACACAAAACCCAACAAAAUCUCACCCUGUUCUCGGACAAUCCGACUUGAAUAACCCCAUCCGGAUUAUCCACCCUCUCGUACGGGUCCUCCGAAGCCCUAUCCAACCCGAUAUAGUACGGCGAGUCAUUGGGCUUCGCAAUCCAGCUCGCCCGGGAGGACAUCCGGACCCGGCCCAUGGACCCGCGGGUGGACAAGCUGGACCGCGACAGCGUUCUGGGGAGCUCCGCCAGGUUGGAGGAGGACUGGGAGGGGGAAGGUGGAUCGGGUUUGGAGGGUCGCCGUCGUUUUAGGUAGAGCUGGAGGCAGUAAUAGAGAGCACAUGGGAUUAGAGAGGCGAGGAUGAGGCCGCCUCUGCCUUGGACGACGCCUUGGAGUGGCACAAUCAGUCUCAUCGCGGUGACUCCGGUGGGCUUGUUUCGGGUUGGGUCGGAGUCGGGUUGGCCGGUCCAGGUCUCGAGCUGCAGUGGGAGGGUUUCGGGUUGGCCGUUGGUUGGCGUGGAGGGAUUGAGUGAGAUUCGAGAGCCCUGCGAGGGAAGUGUGUGUUUUGCAGUUUCGCUACCAGAAACUUUUGGUCUGGUUAUGAUUGGCACCUGCCAGUUUCCAUCUUUGCAUCUUUUGUUGGUGGCGUGCAAACACCAUCGUCGUAUAAUAACAAAAAAACGAUUUCAUUCUUUUUGGGGCUAAAGAUGUAAUUUUGAAUCAAAUGCUUUUCUUAUCAUAUUUUUUUAUACCGUAACCGUUAUCUAAUAAAGAUAAGAUACAUAUGUGUGUAGACCUUACUUUUAUUAGAGAAAUUGAGAAUUUUUACUGUGCUCAAAACAAUAGUUGUACCAUAUGUCCUGGUGCAAAUACUAAAUAUUAUUCUGUGUUUCGAGCACAUUAAAAAAUCUCUCGGAUCACAUUGUGUUUGGACCUGAUUUUACACAUCGGCCUAAGCAAUCGAGGCCGUUGAGUAAGCAUGGUUCUCAACCGUUGGAUAAGAAAGUUUAGAUAUUAUUGUUAAGAGAUAAUAUUAUGAUUUUUAAUCAUAAUAAUUAUUUUUUUAAUAAGUUAUCUCGGUUUUUAUGCAAAAUAAAUGGGAUGGAGGCAAGUAGAGUUGUGAUGGGGACGUGAGCUUUGAAUCAGGUUGGUUUGUUUUGCUGGACAUGCAUGCAUGGGAUGUAAAGAUAAUGAAGUGAUAGGGGAUAAAUCCAAACAUGCCAAAACGUGUAAUUUGCAAAAGAAUUGUGCAAUAUGGAGAUUCUAUCCUAAUGCAUGGUUUUUUGGGAUUGGUUUUGUGCACGUGGCAUGCGACAAUGGAGAUGAUGGUUUUGCAUGGUGAUGGCAAUAUGGGUUUAAAGGUUUCUCAUGUUUUUUAAUAAGAAGCCUAGGUGGGUUAGAUCUCUAGUGAGAUGUGAUAAAGCCUAGGUAGGCUUUAUUUAUCUGAAGGAUAUGUGCGGCGUAUUUGAUACGGGAUCAGGGUUUAUCUGAAGGAUAUGCGCAGCGUAUUUGAUACGGGAUCAAGGUCAAUUCCACAAAAUAGAGUUGCAGUUGGACUCUACAAAAUUAUUUGGCCGCGUCACACAACAUUUGCUCCUAUAAAUAUAGAGGUAGUGGCAACGGAAGAAGGACCCCUGCAAAUCAAUACAAAAUUGCCCUGCGCAAAUUCUCACAACUUGUGAUUUUUCUUUUCCCUUUUUUCGCUGACACAUCUUCCGUUGGCAUCAACAGCACUGUGGAAGCAACCGGUGAUAUCUUAAGUCGGCAUAGAUAGCUCUGUCACCGUAGAAUCAGUCGGUCUCGCAAUACUUUCCGUUGGCAUCAACAGCACUGCGGCGAGAACGACCGAUUACCUAUCCAAGUCUCGGUCGAGAAGGAUUUCUGAAUCCUUAUUGGUCGAGGUCAUCUCAUCAGCCUUCUCGGCGAAGUGAGGUGUUACGAGUUAUUACAUUCGGCACAUUGAGGGCCGAAUUUGAUAUUGAACUUCGUGAGAAUAGUAACCUUGUCUUCAGGUUCGAGAGCCCAAGAGGCCGAGACGUGUUCCUUUCUUGGCCGCAAUCGCAAGACGCAGAAGUCAGUAGCGCGACCCAACGCAACAUCAACAAAUUUACUCCUCGGCCGAGCUCGGCCGACGAGUUGGCACGCCCCGCAUUCACCGAAGGACGUAGUUAGCUUAUUAAUUACUCGGCCUGCGCGCCACGUAGGCUUGGUAGUUUUUAGGGUCAACAUUUUGGCACGCCCAGUGGGACCCAGUGCUAAACUACGAAGUUCACAUGAUCUAUCUCGAUCCGGCUUCAAGGGAUGAGUGUUAUCGCCUAUUAAAGGAGCAAAACAACUUCUCGAGAGUUUGAGAAGAAUUUCUGAAAGGCAAGAGGCCGGGGGGCAAAUCUCCACUCCGGCCACAACCAAUAUUCAGCCUAAGAAAAGUGAUAAUUUGGCCGAAGAACAAAGGCCACUUGUUGUUUCGGUAGAGACUGAAAAUAUAGUAGGCCUAGAAGAAAAAAUUCAAGUCCCUAAGCUAUAUACAAAAAUUGACUUGGAAAAAGAUUCGUCAAAAGAACGCUCCAGUGACGAACGAGGCCGAGAUAUUGGCCUAGCCCGAGAAACUACGCCAAUUGAUAUGAUUAUUGGCAAUAAAGCCGAUAUGGAGAAAUCCUGUUCGGCUAAGUUAUUUGAAUUAAAAGCCGAAAUUAUGCCUGGGGGGCAUAAUAAUUGUUCAGCGCAUUCGGCGGCCGAUAAAAAAUCUUUCGUCAAGUCAAACAUAUUUGGAGAUAGUAUUUUAUUCGGCCUUGCAAAAAUUCAAAGUGAAAGUUUUGAUACAAAAAGCCUUCGGCUUGGAAUAAAACAUCGUUGGCCUCCUCCAUUUAUAGUAGGGCCACUUUUGUUUUCUUUUGCUACAAAAUAAGAAUAAAUUAUUUUCUUAACCAUUCGGCUUUUUAGGCCGAUGCUUAAGAAAAUAAAGGGGGCAAUAAGAUGGUGCGGACUUAGAAAAACAAGAAAAAACAAGAUGGUGUACUCGGCAGACAAUUUUGGUCAAAUAAUGGUGUACUCGGCAGACAGUUUUGGUCGAAUGAAUUUGCGAGAGCAUGCAUGACAAUUGCUCGGCAGACAGUUUUGGUCAAAUGAAUUUAUGGGAGCAUGCAUGGUUGCGAAGCUUGCUCAAUUCAGUUUCGAUGUGCGGUUUAAUAUAUAUAUGUGUGUGUCAGAAUGACCCAUCACAUGAAACAGAAAGAGAGACGCAUACGGAAAAGACAAAGGAAAAUUCAUGAAGUUAUGGUAGGCUUCCACAUGGGCUAACCUUUUCGUUUGGUGAUGUAGUGAUCUGUGAAUUCCUAACAGCAUUAUUUGGCCGAAUACAAAUCUUUGGCCGAAUAAAACAUAGUUCGGCCGAAUAUAAUGGGUUAUAUAUAUAUAUAUAUAUAUAUAUAUAUAUAUAUAUAUAUAUAUAUAUAUAGGCUCUACAGCCAGUUCUUCUCGGUCUCAGCCCUAUUUACUCUCGACCCCAGUAUUUUUGACCGAUACUAGUGUUUUCUCGACCCCGGCAGUUGAGAGUUGGAGUAGUUCACGACACUGGCAGAGGGAGGUUAUGACAUUGGCAGAACAUAGGUGAUUUUAAUGCCGAGAGACAAAAUUUGUUUCGGCAAUACGACGAAGUGUUGUUGGCUACGAGCAAUUAAUUUCCUUAACCAUUCGGCUUACGAGCCGAAGCUCACGGAAACUAGGGGGCAAUGUUUGGACCUGAUUUUACACAUCGGCCUAAGCAAUCGAGGCCGUUGAGUAAGCAUGGUUCUCAACCGUUGGAUAAGAAAGUUUAGAUAUUAUUGUUAAGAGAUAAUAUUAUGAUUUUUAAUCAUAAUAAUUAUUUUUUUAAUAAGUUAUCUCGGUUUUUUAUGCAAAAUAAAUGGGAUGGAGGCAAGUAGAGUUGUGAUGGGGACGUGAGCUUUGAAUCAGGUUGGUUUGUUUUGCUGGACAUGCAUGCAUGGGAUGUAAAGAUAAUGAAGUGAUAGGGGAUAAAUCCAAACAUGCCAAAACGUGUAAUUUGCAAAAGAAUUGUGCAAUAUGGAGAUUCUAUCCUAAUGCAUGGUUUUUUGGGAUUGGUUUUGUGCACGUGGCAUGCGACAAUGGAGAUGAUGGUUUUGCAUGGUGAUGGCAAUAUGGGUUUAAAGGCUUCUCAUGUUUUUUAAUAAGAAGCCUAGGUGGGUUAUAUCUCUAGUGAGAUGUGAUAAAGCCUAGGUAGGCUUUAUUUAUCUGAAGGAUAUGUGCGGCGUAUUUGAUACGGGAUCAGGGUUUAUCUGAAGGAUAUGCGCAGCGUAUUUGAUACGGGAUCAAGGUCAAUUCCACAAAAUAGAGUUGCAGUUGGACUCUACAAAAUUAUUUGGCCGCGUCACACAACAUUUGCUCCUAUAAAUACAGAGGUAGUGGCAACGGAAGAAGGACCCCUGCAAAUCAAUACAAAAUUGCCCUGCGCAAAUUCUCACAACUUGUGAUUUUUCUUUUCCCUUUUUUCGCUGACACAUCUUCCGUUGGCAUCAACAGCACUGUGGAAGCAACCGGUGAUAUCUUAAGUCGGCAUAGAUAGCUCUGUCACCGUAGAAUCAGUCGGUCUCGCAAUACCUUCCAUUGGCAUCAACAGCACUGCGGCGAGAACGACCGAUUACCUAUCCAAGUCUCGGUCGAGAAGGAUUUCUGAAUCCUUAUUGGUCGAGGUCAUCUCAUCAGCCUUCUCGGCGAAGUGAGGUGUUACGAGUUAUUACAUUCGGCACAUUGAGGGCCGAAUUUGAUAUUGAACUUCGUGAGAAUAGUAACCUUGUCUUCAGGUUCGAGAGCCCAAGAGGCCGAGACGUGUUCCUUUCUCGGCCGCAAUCGCAAGACGCAGAAGUCAGUAGCGCGACCCAACGCAACAUCAACAAAUUUACUCCUCGGCCGAGCUCGGCCGACGAGUUGGCACGCCCCGCAUUCACCGAAGGACGUAGUUAGCUUAUUAAUUACUCGGCCUGCGCGCCACGUAGGCUUGGUAGUUUUUAGAGUCAACACAUUGUUAAUAAGCUCUUCAAUUCAAGUUUUCCUUUCUCACGGUAUCGAUAAUAUACCAAUGAAUCCACUUAUAUAUAUAUAUAUGUAUGUAUCUUCCCAAGUAGAGGGUAUAUAUAUAUGUGUGUGUGUGUAUCCUCCCAAGUAUACCAGCACUCCUUAAAUUAUUGAACAUUGAAUCAGAACAAGUCUGCAAUAUGAUGGAUUACACAUGUCAAUGGUUGAGACAAACGCUGACUCAUCACAUCACUCUUGUGUGUGUGUAUCUUCCCAAGUAUACCAUCACUCCAUAAAUGAUUGAACAUUGAAUCAGAACAACUCUGCAAUAUGAUGGAUUACACAUGUCAAUGGUUGAGACAAACGCUGGCUCAUCACAUCACUUUCAUAGAUUAGAGGCAGAUUUUCUGCCCUCCUAUUUGGAUCCCCUUCUCAUUCCAUUCUAUUUUAUGUUGUCACGAUUAAACCACGUCAAUAUUUUAUAUUGAUUUUUUUUAUAGAGAUAAUAAAACAAAAAGCAAUAUGAAUAUAAAAUGUUGACGUAACUUAACUGUGAUCACACAAAUAGAAGGGAAUGAGAAGGGUACCCAAACAGGAGGGCAGGCAACCUGCCUCCUCAUAGAUUCGGUCUCCUUGCAAUCUAGAAAGCCAUCUGCAACCUAAGCAGAAAUAUUCCACCACAAUUUAUUCGUGCUCUCUGUUGAUAGGGCGUUGAUAGGGCGUUUAGAGCAGUUGCCAAGUUGGAUUUCAAAUCUUCAACACCUCGUCAUAUUGGGUAUUUGUUGGUCAAGGUUGAGAGAUUCCCCACUAAAAGCCCUUCAAAAUCUACCUAAUCUGUUGGAGCUAUUUUUGAAAAUCAAUGCAUAUGAUGGUGUGCAGCUGCAUCUUGAGGAAGGAGGAUUUCAGAAGCUGAGGCAUCUGGAACUCAAGGACAUGGAGGGACAAAAUUCAUUGAUCAUAGACAAUGGGGUUAUGCCUCUUCUCCAAGAGUUUCACAUUGGACCUUCCCCACAACUGAAGGAGGUGCCCUCUGGCAUCCACCAUCUCCGAAAGCUGAGAUAUCUUGUUUUCUUUGACAUGCCAAAGGAGUUUGAACGACAUAUGGAUCCAAAUAAUAGACUGCAACAUUGGAUUGUUGAACAUAUACAAGAUGUCCGCUUUAGUUACAAGUUCGGACCAAGAUGGGGGUGUAUACGAAACUCACGCCCGACGUGAUUCCAACUUUUCUUUUUGGUAGAAGAUUCCAACUUGUGAAACCAAGCAUGGGAAUGGAAUGGUCUCUUUUUGUACAGUUUUUGGUUAGAGAGGUUUAGGGGUUGUUAAGAGUUGGUUGUUAGCUCUGGUAUCCUAGUUUCUCUUGCAGGUUGACUGGGAGUGGCUCUUUCUCUUCUGUUUUCUUUGUGUCGUCGAGUCUAGUGAUAUUUCUAGCAUUUUCCUUAUAAACUGUUUUUUUUAUUUAUAAAAAUUGAAAAAUAAAAAGGUAUCUUCUUCUCAAAUUCAGAAUGUUCAAGUGACCUAAUAAAAUUUCAUUGAACUUUAGGCGAAUGAAUCAAGUUUUUACUAGAGAUAAGUGUUAAUCUACAAUGGCUAUUUAUUCAAAAAGUUUUUUAGUAGUUUAAAAUCAUCAAACUAACUUUUUUUUUUGAAUGUGUUAAAAUUGGUUACCUGCAGAUAAUGAGUUCUUAACAUGUGAUUCAAUACCGACCCAAUUAGUUAAUGUGUAGAUUUGAAAUCUAUUAUUUUCGUACCAUUUCGAAUCGAGUUAACAGAUCGUAUAAGAAAUUGUCAGAUCUAACUUAAAUUUGAAAGGCUUGAUGACCGUUGGCAGGCCUACCAAAUAUAAAAUGGUUGUUGUUUGUUUGUUAAUUUAUAAAAACUUAAAAAGAGAGUUGGGUAGGUAUCGUAAUGACGCAAAGCCAGAGGCAACCACCUCUCUAAUUCGAGUUUUCCUUUCUCACUGUACCAACACGAGCAAAUUAAUCCCCUCAUAUAUCAUCGCAACUCCACGGUAUAUAAUAUAGCAACACUCCUUAAAUUAUUGAAAAUUGAAUCAGAACAAGUCCGCAAUAUGAUAUGAUGGAUUACCAAAGUCAAUGGAUGAACCAAACGCUGCCUUAUCACAUCGCUUUCAUAUUUUCAAUCUCCUUGCAAUCCAGAAAGUCCUCUGUAACCUAACCAGAAAUAUUCCACACGGAAGUAUUCAUAUAGAGAUUUUUCUCCAUCAAUUAUAGAUACUGUCUGCCAGAAAAGGCAGGAUACAAAAUGGCAGAAUCAGUUGUAUGCUUUGUGAUCGAUAAGUUAAUUUCACUACUCGUCACCACAGAAGCGAAACUUUCAAGAGACGUGCGUGCUGAAGUUGGUUUUCUCAGAGAUGAACUUGAAAGCAUCCGAUCAUUCCUCAAGGAUGCAGACGCUAAAGCAGCAGCAGCAGCAGCAGAAGGAGACAUGGUGACUGACAGUGCCAAAACUUGGGUCAAACAAGUAAGGGAAGCAGCUUUUUACAUUGAAGAUGUCAUCGAUGAGUAUUUGCUUCGUGUCACAAGGCACCAUCAAGACCGCGGAUUCGUUCGCUUUGUCCACAAAGUUGUUUGGUUUCUGAAGAAAAUGAAACCACAGGAUGAGAUAGCCUCAAAAAUAGAGGGCAUGAGAGCAUUGGUUAGUGAAAUCAAGGCUAGACAUGAAAGAUAUGGGCUUAGUUCAAUUGAUCAGCAAGGUCAAAGCAGUGAAGAAAUUGUUGUUUCGUGGCAUGACCCUCGAGUGGCUUCCCUUUUCAUCGAGGAAGCUGAAGUUGUUGGUGUGGAAUCUGCCAGAGAUGAGCUGAUUAGUUGGUUGGUAGGAAAAGCAUCAAGAGGCGCAUACCGUGAAGUAAUAUCAGUGGUUGGCAUGGGAGGACUUGGUAAGACCACUCUCGCCAAGAAAGUCUAUGACAACCAAAGGGUGAUCGAACACUUCGAUUGCCAUGCUUGGAUUACAGUGUCUCAGACGUACAAGGUGGAGGAUCUUCUGAGGCAGAUGGUAAUGCAAUUCUACAAGGCCAGGAAGGAAUAUACCCCGGAGGGCAUUGACACAAUGGAAAAAGAAUCUUUAAUUAGAAAAUCAAGAGAAUUACUGCAGCAAAAGAGGUACGUGAUUGUGUUUGAUGAUGUAUGGAAAGUAGAAUUUUGGGAGGCGAUAGAACAUGCUUUGCUGGAUAAUAAAGGGGGAAGAAUAGUGAUCACCACGAGGAUUAAAGAUGUUGCUGAUUUUUGCAAAAAGUCUUCUUAUGUUCAUAUUUACCGUUUGCAACCUCUGCCUCCAAUCAAGGCAUGGGAAUUGUUUUGUAGAAGGGCAUUUCAAUACGAAUUGGAGGGGAACUGCCCUGCAGAUUUGAAAGAUUUGUCUCUUGAAUUCGUUAGAAAGUGCGAAGGAUUGCCUUUGGCAAUUGUUUCCAUAGGUGGUCUGCUGUCAACAAAAGUUAAAGUUGUGUCUGAAUGGCAGAAGUUAUACGAUAGCUUAAGUUCAGAGUUAGAAAGCAAUCCCCACCUUACAAGCCUCACAAGAAUUCUAUCCUUCAGCUAUCAUCAUCUACCGUAUCACCUCAAAUCAUGUGUCUUAUACUUUGGCAUCUUUCCCGAGGACUACUCAAUUAGUUGCAUAAGACUAGCUCGGUUGUGGAUCGCUGAAGGCUUUGUGAAACCGAAGAGGGGCAAGACACUAGAAGAGGUUGCAGAGGAAUACUUGACUGAACUGAUACAUAGAAGCCUGGUGCAAGUGUCACAGGUUUGGAUCGAUGGGAAAGCUAAAAGCUGUCGAGUCCAUGAUCUGAUGCGCGAAGUGCUCCUUAGAAAAGCGGUGGAUUCAAAUUUCUGUCAUGUGUUAUCAGAAAAUGAGUCAACAAUAAAGCCAAUAACUCGACGCCUCUUGAUAGACAGCAUGCCCUAUGAUGCCUUGGGAAUAAUUGAACAAUCUCGCAUUCGUUCUUUAUUUACUUUCAACCAAGAACAAUGGCCCGAGUCUUUUCUCAGUACACUGAGUGGAAACUUUAAACUUAUGAAAAUAUUGGAUUUUGGAGAUGCUCCCCUGAAUCAUCUUCCGAAGUAUGUGGGAGAUUUGCAUCUCUUGAAGUACUUAAGCCUAAGGAAUACAAAGGUGAAGUUGCUUCCAGAGUCCAUAUGUAAUCUGCAAAACUUAGAAACACUGGAUUUAAAACAGUCUCUGGUAUAUGAAAUACCAGCCAAGAUCAAUAAGCUUCUAAGGUUGCGACAUCUUUUGGCCCAUUAUACUGACUCCAGCUCAAGGUUCAGGAUGAUCAGUAACGAACGAGGAGUGAAAAUACAUGAUGGUAUUGGAUGCUUACAAGCUUUACAACAGUUAUACCAUGUGGAAACAAAUCAUGGCGGAAUCAACCUAAUCAAAGCAUUGGAAAAGUUGAGGCAGCUGCGAAAGUUGGGCCUGAAAAACUUGAAACGUGAAUAUGGACGAGCUCUAUGUGCUUCGAUUGAAAAGAUGAACCACCUUGAAUCUCUAGAAGUAAGCACAAUAAGCGAAGAUGAAGUCCUUGACCUGCAAUCCAUUUCAACUCCACCCGAAUCUAUUCGGUUUCUCUACUUGAAGGGGCCUCUAGAGAAGUUGCCAAGUUGGAUUCCAAAGCUUCAACGACUUGUCAGGCUACGAAUUUUUUGGUCAAGGUUGACAGAUGCCCCACUGAAAGCUCUUCAAAACCUUCCUAAUUUGGUAGAGCUUGGGUUCUCAUUCAACGCAUAUGAUGGUGUGCAACUGCAUUUUGAGGGAGGCUUUAAGGAACUCAGGGUGUUAAAACUCAAGCACUUGCCCAGACUAAACUCAUUGAUCAUAGACAAUGGGGCUAUGCCUCUUCUCCGAGAGCUACAAAUUGGGCCUUCCCCACAACUGAAGGAGGUGCCCUCUGGCAUCCAGCACCUGAGAAAUCUAAGCUCUCUUAGAUUUGUUGACAUGCCAAAAGAGUUCCGACAACAUGGAUCCAAAUAAUGGCCAACAUUAUUGGAUUGUCGAACAUAUACAAGAUGUUCUUUUUAGUUACAAGUUGGGACAAAGAUGCGAUGUAUAUGAAACUCACGCCCUGCGUGAUUCCAACCUGUGAAAGCAUAUCUACAUGUGAGUUUUAAUCCCAGAACACCCCAUAUAACUCGCAAGGCUUAAAUGAAAUCGCCAAAUGUCAUUGUUGACACGAUCUGUGAUAUUCUUUAGUAUUAUCAACUGUUAUAGAUGUUUGCUUUGUAUGAAAACAAAAAAUAAAAACUUCAUUCAUGUUUGUGAGGAUUUGAUUGUGUUUGAGCAGGCAACAUUGAUUAUUUCUCACAACCCAGACAAGUGUUUGGCUAAUUAUUUCUCACACUAUCUAAUCAAAUGAAGGGCUAGGAGUUUCAGUUUGAGUGACGGUCCUAAAUCAUUUCUUUCGUUCCAGACAUGUUUCUGAAUUUGAAGCAUUAAACUUUUACUCAGCACACAAGCAUUGUGCGUAAGAUUUUUUUCAGUUGAAAGGCUUCACGGCAAGCCUACCACAGGUCUCCGAGGAUAAUCAUAGGAAACUUGCGAGGUUGAAUAUCAUUUGCAACCCAGCUAGCAGAAACAAAAGAGUCCCUUCUCCAGUACCAAGCUUAGCUAGAAGUCGAGGUUUUUGCCACAUGAAUUAAUUACGUAAAAUGAAACAAAUUAAAACUGAAUUAUGCUUGGUUAGUGAUGGAUGGCAGAUUCAAAUCAAAGAGAAGCAGUUAUAUAUGUUAAUGGAAGAUCAGAGCAAAACGCAUGGCUUAAACUUCAUUGUUUUACAUCUGCAACCGUAUCAGAAAGAACACAAAAGUAAGCAUACAUAAAGUGUGUUAAUACCUGAUUGAAUAAGUUAAUGAAAAAGUAGCAGAAGCAGUUGUAUUCUUUGUGAUUGAUAAGUCUCUACUCAUCUACUGUACAGAAGCAAAACUUCCAAGAGAUGUAUGAUAGAGAUUUUAACACAUGUUCAGGAAUUGGUAUAAACAAUUUACGAGUUUUUGAAUUAUUUAACUUAAUUAGCUCUAAGAACUAUGUUGGAGCAGUUAUGUUUUUAUUUAAUAUAUGUAUAUAUAUAUAUUUAUGAUUUGUUUUAUUAGAAACAUUAAAUAUAUAUAACUGUUAUUAGGAGUAAUUUUUAUUUGUAAAUAUAUUGGAGACAUUGUCAAUUAGGAGUAAUUUCCCUUCUUAAUUAUAUAGGAGACGUGAGGAAGUUUAUUACUUCAACAAAUUUGAUAUGCCUUCUCUAAAUAGAGUAGAAGAUCACGUCCACCUCCAUAUAUAAUCUAUCCGUUUUGAUUUUUACGUUUUGGUUUAUUCCGGAUUUCUAGUCCUUAAUUUAUAAAUCCUUCAACCUCUAUUUCUUUACUUUGUAUAUAAAUACAAGUCCUGAGUAUCGAUAAAAAAAAGAUAUAUAUAUAUAUAUAUAUAUAUAUAUAUAUAUAUAUAGAGAGAGAGAGAGAGAGAGAGAACUAUAAGCUGUUAAAUAAAUAAUUUUUGAAAUUAAGUUUUGAGAGCAACAUAUUGAAAGGGUGCAAGUUUGAAGGUUCUUCCAUUGUGCAAGGAAGAACCUUAUCAGAAGAAGGUUAUAGGCUGUUUUAUCCUGGGGACGACAUAGUGUUUGUGAACUGCUUGCACACUUUGGGCAGAGCUGCGAUAAAGAGAGCGACUUAGUCUGCGACUCAUCCUAAGAAUCAUUCAUCACUCAAGGCUUUUACAUUUUCCGGGUAACUUCAUUCAUUUCUAUUUCAGUUUUCAACAAACUACAUUAAUUUGACAAAACUAAAUUCUAUUGUACGUGACUUAAACAAAUAUAUCAAAUGAGAAUUGGCUUACAGAAAUAGUGAUUUAACUAAACAAAACAAGUAAAUGUAGAAACUUAAGAUAAUAGAAAUAAUUGAAGAAAAUUAGAUUGACAAGGCACUAGAGUUCGACCUUUACCAACAACACUCCUACGUAGCUCUUCCAAUUGCUUAAGUAAUCGAAAACACACAUGCUUUGAAGGUUGAGUUUUUCCUUAUGUAGUUUUACUUGUGACAUUCAAGCUAAAACGCAUACCACUACAUGCAAUUCAUCCAUGACAUUGAGAUUAAAUAUAAACAUGAGUGAUUUAUUAAUCUUGGUGAAAAUCCUUUUAAUAAACCAUGUAAUCCCUAAAAGUAUGAUAUUUACCUUAGGAGAAAUUACAAUCCUCAAUCACAAGAAGCAUAACCAAUUUUAACGUGACAUUCGUUCAAAAUUACAUCCGAUGACUGUUCUAAGCAUCCUAAUGGUGAUCAAGUAUCAAGGCACAUAUAUAGUUUAAUUUAAUGAUUGAAAAUAUCAAAGCAAACAUUUAAUAAUACUUAAGCAAUUAAAAGAGAAAUCUACGUAUUCAUGUUGAGGCUCAUGGCUUCACUCUAGUGAAAGAAAAUUAAUUAUACAUACUUAUCUAAAAACAUAAGAAAUUAUCCAUAAAAAAUCAAGGAAAGAAUACAACCUUUAGGCCAUCUCCAACCGAUGGCUGGCCAGAGGACUCGUUUAAGCCCUUUGGCCCUCCAAGAUUCUCCAAGAUAUUAAUAUUUUAAUGAACAGUACAAGGCCAUAUUUGCCUCCGUCUCCAACCGAGGACCAGAGGGCUCGUUUUAGCCCUUUCACAAAAAACCGUCUCCAACCGAGGGUCAAAGGGCUAUAGGGCCAAACAUAAUUUAUUAUUUAAAAACUACAACUUAAACGUUUUUAAAUGUUUUUAAAAAUGUUGUUUAAGUUUCAUGUUGUAUAAUUUUUAUGUUGCUUAAUGUUAUUUAAUGUUGUUUCAUGUUACUUAAUUUAAUUUAAUGUUGUAUAAUAACUUAGGAAGUUAUAGGAAAAAAAUAGAAUUUAAAAAAAAUAUGAAACAAAUUUUGUGAAAUAGAAGUUAUAGGAAAAAAAAAGAAUUUAAAAAAAAUAUGAAAUAAAUUUUGUGAAAUAGAAGUUAUAGGAGAAAAUAGAAGUUAUAUCAAAAAUUUUGUAAAUAAAAAAAAUAAUAAAACUGUAAAAUAAAAAAACAAAUGCAACAGCUAGCCGUUGCAUUUGAAUUUUUUCUUAAAAAAUCAUGUCGGUUAUAACCGACAGGAAUACAUGCUAUUAUUUAAUAUAAAUGUAUUACUGUCGGUUUAUUUAGUAUAAAUGUAUUACAUAACCGACAGUAAUACAUUUAUAUUAAAUAAAAGCAUGUAUUUCUGUCAGUUAUAACCGACAGAAAUAACAAAACAUUAAAAAAAAUAGCCAGCCCUCUCCGAUUCCGUAGGACCCUCCCAGAUUCCAAAGCCCUCUGGCCUAACCCUCAGUUGGAGACGGUUUUCAGGUUAUUUUCGGUCCUCUGGCCCUCUGAACCUUUUGUUGGAGAUGACCUUAUUUACAAGAAUUAUUCCUGCUGAGCUGCUUCCACCCUCCUCUCUCUGCCUUUGCUCUCUUCUUCUACUGUGCCUUCCGUCCGUCUCCCUGCUUCUCUUCUGUUUUUCCUCGUCUGUUUCGUGCCCUUCCUUCAACCAAAUGCAGCUAUCUGCUUUUUCCCGGCCACAAAGGCCCAGUGGAAGACAAGUCAAAUUUCACUUCGGUAGUGGGAUUGGCAAGGCAAAGCACAAAGUGCCCGUUCUUUUUCUUUUUUCUCCACUUGCCGUGUCCCAGCUUGGAAAAUUCCAAAAACGUUCGGUCAUUCCCAGUUGCCAAAGCAGGUUGGAGCUUUUGAACUCUUCUUCCGCUUUCUGCGCACACCCACUACCUCACAAUUACAACUUUAUUAGCCAAUCUAAUAUUAUAUCUUUAAUUGCUUACCAUGUCCUCUUCCAAUUGACAAGUGACACAAAGUUUCUAUGGAAAUUAAUAAAAAAUGUUUGAAAAUUUUGACUUUUAACGAAAAUAACACAAAUGUGUUGUAAGUGAAUAAUAUCCAAUAUUGACUUUUUAAAGUAAAAAGGAAAAUUUUGAAAUAGGUCCAGUUUUAUAGGCCUACUUUUAAAAUAGAUUCAAUUUUUAGUGACUUUUAACUUUUGAAAUAAGUCAAAUUUUUUAUUACUUUGAACCCAUAUCAAAAUACCUCAAGUAAAAAUGUGAUUUUCCAUUAAAAUGAACCGUACCAAAAGUGUUUUGUUGAAACUUACUUCUUAUUUUUAGAACUCAUAGAGGAGGAAAAGGAGAGAGAGUGGCGGAAAGAAAAUGUGGAAAUAAUUUCCACAAUUAGUUUUCUAUGUUUGCACACUUCCAAUAAUUUUCAUCACUCAAUUCUCACAUCAAGGGAAACAUAAUCAUGAUCACAAACAUAAUCAUGAAGUUUCCUCAUCAUUUUAUUUAUUUAUUUAGCCGAAAGCUGGUCCUAGAAACACAACAUGGCAAAAAUAUCACAAAUACUUAAAACUUUCAACUAAACUAAACAAGAAAACAAAAAUAAAAAGGCGAAAUAUAUAGAAAAAAUAUUGGUUCAUCAACAUACGCACUAAAGUUGCUUUCAUCUAUAAAAUCUAAGAGCUCUUAGAUAUAUUAACAUGCCGAAACAAUUCAUCGAGAUGUGAAUCCGAAAAAUGGCCAGUGUUAUUGGACUGUUGAGCUUAUACGAACGACAUGUUAUUUGUAUUUACAAGCGUGGGACGAGAUGCUGCACACACGAGAUUCACAACCUGCAUGAUUCCAGCUUGUGAAGGCGCACAGGCGAGUCCUACUUAACACCAGAAUACCCUGCACCCUGCACUUCAGGAUGCCGCAGUGAAAUGAUCAAAUUUCAUUUUUUUUCCCUAGCUGCCAUCACUUUAUUCUUCUAGGAGAUGCGACGAUUGGUGAGGACUUAUGUGGAACAGAUUUAUUGUAAACGUGGCAUCCCAAUUUAAUAAUAUAAUGCCACAUGACAUUGUCUUAUUGAACUGAGGCGCAACAGUGAUGGUGAACUCAUUUCAUGUAAGUUGCUAUUAUUGUUGGGUGUCCUUACGCAAAUUUUUCAAGACAAGGUGGAUUUUUAACCAAAGAUAGUUGUGUGGAAGCAUGAAAUAUGAAACCAAUAAGCUAAUACAACAAAAUAUGACAAGACAAAUAAUCCAAAUUAACACAAGGAUUUAUACUGGUUCGACGUAAGCCUACGUCCAGUUCAAAGACGGCGAGAAAAUUCGAUUAAUUGUUAGAUCCCAUAUCGCUGUGAGGAGUGGAUCCUUUAUGCCUUAUAUGUACAUGCCCACCUCUAUAUAGCACGAAAUCUUUUGGGAGCUCACUGACUUCGGGUUCCGUAGGAACUCCGAAGUUAAGCGAGAAAGGGGCUAUAGUAUUCCCAGGAUGGGUGACCUACUGGAAGUUCUACUCGCGUAAGUUCUCAUAAACAAAACCGUAAGGGCGUGAUCGAAGCCCAAAAUGAACAAUAUCGUACUACGGCGGAAUCGAGCUCGGGAUGUGAUGGAGCCCAGGUCGAGGUCACUAAUAGUCAAAAUGAAAAUUACAAAUUUAGUUCAACUCUCAAAUCCCAAAAUCCACAUACACCCAAUAACUCUCAUUCAUACAAAGAACAAAUGGAGAAUAUGGAAACACAUACCUAAUCCCUUCUCCCAAAAGCCAGAAAAAUUGUAGCACCAAUAUCUUGGAUUGAUUGAUUACAAACAAAGGGAGUUACAAACAAAAGGGAGAGUGCAACAGCUCUUCUUCAAAUGGGAGAGCCGAAUGCUCUCUCCUCUACUCACCUUCUUUCUGCUGCUUCCACCCUCACACUCUACCGCUCUCCUCUACUUAUCUCUCUGCAAGAUCCAGCAAGGAAGAUAAAGAGCACAACGAUGAAAGCAACAUUUUCUUCUCCGCCAACCAAAAAUGCCGAAAGAAAAAAAGGGAGGCAGAUUCUCUGCCCUCCCACUUCCCAUGCCCUCUUGUUUGUGUGGUCACGGUUAAGCAACGUCAAUAUUUUAUAUUACUAUUUCUUUUUGUCUUAUUAUCUCUAUAAAAAAAAUAAUAUAAAAUGUUGACGUGCCUUAACCGUGACCACACAAAAUAGAAGGGCACGGGAAGUGGGAGGGCAGAGAAUCUGCCUCCGAAAAAAAAAUCAACCUUUUCUUUUUUGUUCUACAAACAUCAUCAUUAUGCCUCCUCAUUAUGUUCCCACAUCAUUAUAUCCCCUUUUUCUUAUUCUAUUUUUCUUGCUUUCGGCUUCUUUAACAAAUGCAGCAAUUGCUGCCAAUUAAAACAAACGAAAACUAAUGAAAAUAAUUUGAAAAUUUUGAGUUUUAACGAAAAUAACAAAAUAAAAAGUAAAGUAAAUGGUACUAGAAUUAACCUUUUAAUGUAAAAAUGUAAUUUUUCGUUAACGUAAACAGUAUCGGAAGUUUUUUUGUUAAAAUUCUCAAACAAAGGAAAACCACCCGUGUCUUUCACAUGGACCAAAUAAACAAAACAACUUAAUGGGCAAUUGGGUCAAUAAGUGGCCCACCACAAUUUGGCACUAGAUUCUCACCUUCGACAAAGUGAAAACAAAACCAUUGGAAAAGCAAUAGCCCAUGUCUCAAGUUAAUAAGAAAGGUAUCUAUUUGCUUCAAUGUUUCUGACUCUCUUGAUACCAAAGCCAUCUGCUUCCCAUCGUUCAUAUUUCUUCCUGAUUCUUGCAUCCUCUUCUUUUUCAGAUUUCGUUUCUCUACCUUUGCAUCUCAAUUUUCUCUGUUUUUCUAAACAACUGCUUGCUCACCCAAACCGAAAGGCACAUUGCUUGGGGUUGUGGGGUUGCACAUAUUAUAUGGCAGAACAGAUUGUAUGCUUUGUGAUCGACAAGUUGAUUCAACUAUUCAUCACUACAGAAGCAAACCUUUCGAGAAAUGCACGUAUUGAAGUUGGUUUCAUCAAAGAUGAACUCGAGAGCAUCCGAUCAUUCCUCAAGGAAGCAGAUGCUAAGGCUGCAGCAGCAGAUGGAGAGAC
rnacentral:lncRNA from 1 species